rnacentral:hammerhead_ribozyme from 1 species
GCACUGCUAACGAGUGCCAAACAGGACGAAACAGCUGUCCAGUGC